AAACCAGCACCUCAAGUGGUCAGGAUGAUUAUUGGGCCUAAAGCAUCCGUAGCCGGCUCUGUAAGUUUUCGGUUAAAUCCAUUAGCUCAACUAAUGGGCUGCCGGAAAUACUGUAGAACUAGGGAGUGGGAGAGGUAGACGGUAUUCGGUAGGAAGGGGUAAAAUCCUUUGAUCUAUUGAGGACCACCUGUGGCGAAGGCGGUCUACCAGAACACGUUCGACGGUGAGGGAUGAAAGCUGGGGGAGCAAACCGGAUUAGAAACCCGGGUAGUCC
rnacentral:rRNA from 1 species